rnacentral:rRNA from 1 species
GCCAUCAGAUAUACCAAGUUAUAUACGCCGGUUCUCGUCCGAUCACGGAAGCUUAACGACGUUAGACCCGGGUGGUACUUAAAAGAAAGACUGCCUGUGAACACUGGGUGUUGAUGGCA